rnacentral:rRNA from 1 species
GGUCUAAGCAAUAUUACCCUGAACGUGCCCAAUCUCAUCUGAUCUCAGAAACUAAGCAGGAUUGGGCCUUGUUAGUAGAUGGAUAGGAAGAAGAGUAUCAAGGAACAGAAUC